UACGAAGGGAGCUAGCGUUGUUCGGAAUCACUGGGCGUAAAGCGCACGUAGGCGGAUUUGUCAGUCAGGGGUGAAAUCCCGGGGCUCAACCUCGGAACUGCCUUUGAUACAGCAAGUCUUGAGUUCGAGAGAGGUGGGUGGAAUUCCUAGUGUAGAGGUGAAAUUCGUAGAUAUUAGGAAGAACACCGGUGGCGAAGGCGACUACCUGGCCUGUUCUUGACGCUGAGGCGCGAAAGCUGGGGGAGCAAACGGG
rnacentral:rRNA from 1 species